UUCUGGUUGAUCCUGCCGGACCCUACUGCUAUCGGGNGUGGGACUAAGACAUGCGAGUCGAGCGUCUCUAGCUAUGUUGAGACGCGGCAGACGGCUCAGUAACACGUGGCUAACCUACCCUCAGGACAGGGACAAACCCGGGAAACUGGGGCUAAUACCAAAUAGGCGAGGAUGCCUGGAAUGGUUUCUCGCUCAAAGGUCUUGGAAACAUGCUUCCAAGUCGCCUGGGGAUGAGGCCGCGUCCGAUCAGGUUGUUGGUGAGGUAACGGCUCACCAAGCCUAUAACCGGUACGGGCCGUGAGAGCGGUAGCCCGGAGAUGGGUACUGAGACAAGGACCCAGGCCCUACGGGGCGCAGCAGUCGCGAAAACUCCGCAAUGCACGAAAGUGUGACGGGGCUA
rnacentral:rRNA from 1 species